CGCCAUUGCUCCUGUAUGUCGCUCUGGAUAAGAGUGUCUGCUAAAUGCCUAAAA
rfam:Salmo salar isolate Sally breed double haploid chromosome ssa12, whole genome shotgun sequence.